rnacentral:rRNA from 1 species
UCGGCUGUUCGCCGAUUAAAGUGGCACGCGAGCUGGGUUCAGAACGUCGUGAGACAGUUCGGUCCCUAUCUGUUGUGGGCGUAGGAGAUUUGAGAGAACCUGACACUAGUACGAGAGGACCGUGUUGGACAGACCUCUGGUGUACCUGUUGUGGCGCCAGCUGCAUCGCAGGGUAGCUAUGUUUGGAAGAGAUAAGCACUGAAAGCAUCUAAGUACGAAGCUCGUCUCAAGAUGAGAUCUCCUUUAAGGGUCGUUGAAGACUACGACGUUGAUAGGUUGCAGGUGUAAAGGCGGUAACGUCAAAGCCGAGCAAUACUAAUUACCCGUAAACUUUCGGAG